CCUACGGGAGGCAGCAGUCGAGAAUCAUUCACAAUGGGGGAAACCCUGAUGGUGCGACGCCGCGUGGGGGAAUGAAGGUCUUCGGAUUGUAAACCCCUGUCAUGUGGGAGCAAAUUAAAAAGAUAGUACCACAAGAGGAAGAGACGGCUAACUCUGUGCCAGCAGCCGCGGUAAUACAGAGGUCUCAAGCGUUGUUCGGAAUCACUGGGCGUAAAGCGUGCGUAGGCUGUUUCGUAAGUCGUGUGUGAAAGGCGCGGGCUCAACCCGCGGACGGCACAUGAUACUGCGAGACUAGAGUAAGGGAGGGGGAACCGGAAUUCUCGGUGUAGCAGUGAAAUGCGUAGAUAUCGGGAGGAACACUCGUGGCGAAGGCGGGUUCCUGGACAUUAACUGACGCUGAGGCACGAAGGCCAGGGGAGCGAAAGGGAUUAGAUACCCGAGUAGUC
rnacentral:rRNA from 1 species